rnacentral:ncRNA from 1 species
GGUCCUAGUGACCUUCAACACAUAUACGGUUAAGGCUUUGCCACCUACUUCGUGGCAUCUCUAACCACGUUUUUUU